rnacentral:rRNA from 1 species
CACGUAGGGCGCGAGCGUUGUCCGGAAUUAUUGGGCGUAAAGAGCUCGUAGGCGGCCUGUUGCGUCCGCUGUGAAAGCCCGGAGCUCAACUCCGGGUCUGCAGUCGAUACGGGCAGACUUGAGUGUUGCAGGGGAGACUGGAAUUCCUGGUGUAGCGGUGAAAUGCGCAGAUAUCAGGAGGAACACCGGUGGCGAAGGCGGGUCUCUGGGCAACAACUGACGCUGAGGAGCGAAAGCGUGGGGAGCGAACAGG